rnacentral:rRNA from 1 species
CGGCAAAAGCUCAAAUUUGAAAUCUGGCUUUGUAUCAAAGUCCGAGUUGUAAUUUGUAGAGGAUGUUUCUGGCGACGUGCCUUCCGAGUUCCCUGGAACGGGACGCCAUAGAGGGUGAGAGCCCCGUACGGUUGGAUGCCUAGCCUCUGUGAAACUCCUUCGAC